UAGGGAAUCUUCGGCAAUGGACGAAAGUCUGACCGAGCAACGCCGCGUGAGUGAUGAAGGGUUUCGGCUCGUAAAACUCUGUUGCCAAGGAAGAACGCUUGGGAGAGUAACUGCUCCUGAGGUGACGGUACUUGAGAAGAAAGCCCCGGCUAACUACGUGCCAGCAGCCGCGGUAAUACGUAGGGGGCAAGCGUUGUCCGGAAUUAUUGGGCGUAAAGCGCGCGCAGGCGGUUCUUUAAGUCUGGAGUUUAAACUUAGGGCUCAACCUUAAGUCGCUCUGGAAACUGGGGAACUGGAGUGUAGGAGAGGAAAGUGGAAUUCCACGUGUAGCGGUGAAAUGCGUAGAGAUGUGGAGGAACACCAGUGGCGAAGGCGACUUUCUGGCCUAUAACUGACGCUGAGGCGCGAAAGCGUGGGGAGCAAACA
rnacentral:rRNA from 1 species